AUUGCCAUCCAUUGGAUUUGAAAGACAGUUCUCCAACACAGAGUCAUAAGCACCUUCUUAGGGUGAUAUGACCUAGCAACUCUGAUAAUAGGACUGCAGUCCUAUUCUUUUGUCACCUUUUUGCUGAUUGAUUCCAAGAUAAAAUUGUAAAAUUACUAGGUAUGCUUUGUUGCCAGCACAAAGUUUAAAUGUUCCUCCUUUGUGUUGUUCAUUUAUGUUACUUUUAAAAACCUGGAUUUCCUCUUUUUUCAGCUAUUACUAAGAUUAAGGAAGUGGCCAUGCUUAUGUUUAACGAGCUAUUCAGUAAACCAGACCACACUUUCAGAUGCCAGUUUCUAGGAACUACAAAGGUCACAAAUUCACCGCCGCAAGUGGAGGCUUUCUUGAAAGAUAUGGCAAGGACGGCAGGUCUUAAGGCAGGAGGGCAGAUGCCAGAUUAUGAACUAUGUAUUUCCAGGACU